UGGGGAAUAUUGCACAAUGGGGAAACCCUGAUGCAGCGACGCCGCGUGAGCGAAGAAGUAUUUCGGUAUGUAAAGCUCUAUCAGCAGGGAAGAAAUGACGGUACCUGACUAAGAAGCCCCGGCUAACUACGUGCCAGCAGCCGCGGUAAUACGUAGGGGGCAAGCGUUAUCCGGAUUUACUGGGUGUAAAGGGAGCGCAGGCGGUCCUGCAAGUCUGAUGUGAAAGCCCGGGGCUCAACCCCGGGACUGCAUUGGAAACUGUGGGACUUGAGUGUCGGAGGGGCAAGUGGAAUUCCUAGUGUAGCGGUGAAAUGCGUAGAUAUUAGGAGGAACACC
rnacentral:rRNA from 1 species